AACCACCCACCCGCCCACGCACACACACAACACAUCCACACAGACUGACACACUGACACCAGUGGCAGGCGAAGACAACUACAAAUUCCUGGCCCGAAUAUAUCCUCCUCUGCGGCCGUUAGUCAAAUGUCUUCUGAGUGACGUCAACAAGAACGCCCGCAUCGCAUCGGGAAUUUGCCAGUGAAAAAUUUGCCUCCUCCUCAGCCGUCCCCUUCCUGGUCAUGUGUAGAGCACGUCCUCCACAUCCUCCACGUCCUUUGAGCUCCGCCCACGCCCGAAAACAACCGGCUCACUUUGGAACUUUGUUGUCAACAGUUUUCGUGGUCUUUGCCCGGCUUUAACUUUUGGCCUGUGACAACCGAAAAGGGCGAGGACGCUUCGACAUUUGUUGGCCAUUAAUUAAGCCAAAGUAAUUUCAUUUGGCUGCCCCACAAGCUCCUCCAAGCUUCCACACCCGAAACCCCCCACAAAUGCCGCAUUUCUGGCUGUUUUGUUUUUAAUUGCUAAAUAAUUGCAGGACGGGCAAUACGGGCAGCAAAUAUUAAUCUCGCCGUUCUGUGGGUCGCUGGGGCGAUAAGAGAGCCGCCUGAAUGCGCAGUAAUUAAGAUGCCUCAAAGAUUCUCUGAUGAAUCCAUCAGUCAGUCGGAAAUUGUAGCUUGGAAUCACUUCAUAUAACAACAUUCGGAAAAAGUAUGCACAAAAGUCUUGUACCAUUGGUUCAAUUCGUUCAAAGUUGGAAUUUAUUGUAGCAAACCCCGAACACUUCUAUCUUGUGUCAUCAUGGCAAAGCGAUUAAAAACGGCACGAAAUCCUCUGACACUUUUCGCCCAAGUACCUGCUAUCCAAGUCGAGCUAUAAAAUUCUUAAUGACUCUUUGGUUCAAGUGCGAUAAACUUGAUUUUUAUUCUCUGUGUAGUUGGUCGAGUGGCUACAUUGUUUGACCAUAUGAAGUCCUUUCCAUCCUUUCUGCCAUCCUCAGCAUCGUCGAGUCGACAGAUUGAAGUGCACUCCGCAACCAGAGGCAAGGACCAUAAGCGCUCACUUGUCUCCUUUUCAGUGCAAAAGUCCUGUGCCGCUGGGAAAACAGUCAAUAAAUGUGGCGACACAGGCCGUCUGUCUAUUUGUCAAUAGGCCAACAGAGACGUGACCUGAAUGCCGGACGGAAAAGCAAUAUUGAAAGCCCCGACGCGAAAAUAGAAACUAAUUAAAUGAGAGAUGGUCGGGCAAUUUCGAAGCAAGUGAGCGGUCUAAUUGCCCUGCCUCGUCUGCGAUGAAAACUUGAAGAGACCAAUCGACCCAAGGGAUGCCACCCACACCUCAUAAAUAUGCGAGCUCAUGGUCGCUAUCCAGGUGCAUUGUUUUUCCGUUGUACCUGGCCCAGCUUUUCCUUUUUCCUCCACUUUCCUCCCCACUGAUAAACUGAUAAGUUGCGGCGUAUGCGCAACGUGGCAUGACGUGCCGCAUCCAUAGGCCAUUUCAACGCCAUGCAAAUGCGUUCUGGCAAUAAAAGUAAGAGGCAUCCUUCGUACACAGCGGCUAAAAGCUUUUACGGCAACAAAAUCCCCGUCGGAUUGCAACUAUCUGCGCGUCAUGCUCUUCGCUGUCCGUCGUGAUGGUGAUGCAACUAUUAUUUAUGGCUAGUUCGAUUUACCACGCUGGCGGGAAUGGGGGCGAAUGGGAAUGGCAGUGAAAAGCCAAGACCUCGACCGCAAGAAGGAAACGGCAAAGCCUGGCCAGCUUUCAUCGGGAUUGGCAAUCAACAAAUCAAAAUCUAGGACGUCGAUGGGGGUGCAAUCGUCCUUUUGUGCUGGCCCUGAAUUGAUUGAUAAGUCGGCCACUUGAUUGCUGGCUCCCAGUAGGGAAAUCUUGGCCAGCCUAAAUUGCGCCACAAACCAACGUUUGUUGCUGGGCAAACACAGUGGAGACGCAACAAUUUAAUAAAUUUGCAGUCCCCGGGCGAAAUUGAAAAUUCCGAGCGCAUUACCCUUCUUCUCGCUGCGGUUGCUGUGGCAGCCGCCUCGACAGGAUGCCCAUCUCCACUUCAACCCACCCCCAAUACCCAUCAUUUUGAUUGAUGUCCACCGCCACACCGCACAUAGUUAAGAGGAAGCUCCUUAGGAAUUUUCCGCCUGGCCAGGGCUGUUUACUUAUGAGACUCGCCUGGCGCCUUGGCACACACAUACACGCUCACGGCCAGGACACGUGUGCCCCGGACAACGUGUGGUAUGUGUAAUAUGCGGAGGCGAGCGUUGAGAGCUCGGGCGACAUCUUUAAUGACAAUAACGAAUGUCCGCACUCUGAUUACGUGCGGCAUUUACCACAGGCAGCCGAAGCAGCAAAAAAGUGUGCAAACACACAUUUCAUGGGGCCACUCACAACGGGACCUUCUAUAGAAUAUGGAUCAAAAUGUAUACAAAAUCUGAACUUAUGGUAAAAGAAUAAUAAAUAGAUGCAAAUAAUCUCAGCAUUUGGCUCAAGAAUAUAUGAGCUUUAAAAGGAUUUCCUCUUGAAUGUAAAAUAUGUUGCCUUCGAGUUUGAAAAGAAAGAUUUCAGCGUUAGAAGGAUACAUUUCUAAAAUCAUUCCACAUUUUUUUGCUCUAUAAACAAACUUUACCUAGGAGAAAAGCUGAUUAAAAUUGUAAUCGCCUAGGAUACAGUAAAAGGCGUAGGAACAAGCAGGGAAAUAAAGGGUAAUGAUGUUUCCAUUCACAUAAUACCAUUUAAUUAACAUAAAACGUUUAAUAUUUUCCUGAGCUUGGGACUUGAGCCUCUUUGCUUUGAAUUAAAGUUGAAAGUGAAGUUGUAUCAAAGGAUUAAAUCCUUGCCAAAAUGCCAGUUAAAAACAUAAUUGCUGAGUCUGUGACUGCACGGCACAGUAACCAAAAUCGAACUGGUGCUUAAAAGACACAAUUACAAGGCCUGGCAGGAUGUUGUUAGACACAGAAACACGAAAACAAGGCGUAUUUCCCCCUUUGGCCGGCUGAAGGGAAAAUAUGCCUUAAAGUCGUCCCGCGGGCCACAAUACUUUAUACUCUGCGUUGACAGUACGUGUCAAUGCUGGGGCGAACAAUGCUCUGGGAACAACUGUCAGGGAGGCAGGCGCACAAAGAAAAUAAAUAAUAACAAAGGACAUUAAUCAUGACAACGACAAGGCAAAGGACUUUUCCCCCGCCUCGCAGGAGGACGAACGGAUGGGAGACUGGGUGGCUCGAUGGCGGGGCAGUGCCAAUGGCAAAGCAAACAUGAUGCAAGUGUUCCACACAGCUCGUUAAAGGGCAGCAUAACAAGCACACACACACACACACACACUCGCAGCGCACAGGACCUGUUUAUGCAUUAAAGUCCUGCUCCUGCCUACUUGACUUGCUAAGCGUUUAAUGCCAUCGCACACAUGCGCCACUCGCGCCAAGCAAACAGAAUAACAAACAAAUGAAAAGCAACGCGGAUGCACUGCCUCCACGGCUUUUCCUUAUCGCUUUCCCCCUUCCACGGCUCAGCUGCAGCUGAAAAGUUGUCGCUGCUUUGGAGCUUUAUUAAGUGUAAAUAAGCAGCGGCAUUUCACAGCAGCUUCGGGUCCUGCAGCCACAUUCCUUUGAGUGGGGCAUUCCUUACGGCAGGACCUGCCACACCGAAGCAAAAAAGCAGCCCUUUAGUCCCACUAAGCUCGUCACUCAGAGAGCAAAGAGUGCUUUUUACCGCAGCUAGUAAAAAAUAAAUAACUCAUAAAAGGAGAAACUUAUCUUUAAUUUGCACCAACCAAACUAACAAACACUUCUGCUUUUCUCGUUCAUUAUUCGCUGUCUGUGCGGAUGACGAAUUUCCAAUGAAAUUCCUAACGAACUCGCUUGUCUCAUUUCCAUGACUCUGCUUUGGUCAUCUGCACGAUGCCAAGUUCAAAUUAUAUCAGAAAAUGGUUGAUGGAGGGAGGAAUGGGCCGAGAAACCAGUUUUAAUUUAAACUGAAAAACUGCACUGAGUGCCAGCGCUUUCAGCUGCAUCUUCGCAUGCUGACAUGAACAUGAUUUCUGCUCUGGCCAACAGGGUCUUCUGUACAUCAUUUUGUCAUUUCAUUCAUGAAGUCCUUUGAAUCCGGCUGCACUUUGUGGGCGAUUUAUUAGGAAUUCUGUUUCCAAAGUGACCUGAAACGGACCAGCAGUCGGCCCUUGCCAAGCUGAAAAAGGGGAGAGCGCGGUUUGGCCCUCAAUCGAAUACGCAUUUGGAUUGGGAUUGAAAUUGAAAUUUCAAAUAUGAUGGCUGAUUGCUGGCCUCGGGCGUACAGGCACCGGUUGAUGGGCAUCCUGUGGCAUCCUGUGCCAUCCUGUGGCAUCCUGCGGCAUCCACUGACAUGGGGCUCACUGCUCGUUGCAUGUCAGCAAAUGCAUUCGGGAAAAAGCCCAAGAGGUAAGUGCAUCAACAUUAGAUGGAUUUAUGCCAGGUUUGCUGGAUCACAAAUCCAUGCAAAUGACCUAGGAGCACACCAAAUAAAACACAAUUUAAUGGGAUACACCUUUCACAAUGAUAAAAAUCAGUUGAUUUAGCCGUUGCAAUUGAUUUAAUUAAAUGCAAAUAUGUAAGUUAUGACCAUUGUCGCCACCACUUUGCGUUUCAAUAGAUUUAAUGUGUAAUUACUUUUCCAAUUUGCCAUAAAAGAAUACACACAAAUCUCGAUUGCUUAUUACGUGGGCCACAUUUUUCGCCAUUUCCCGGCCGCCGUGACGUGGCCCUUCAUUUUCCCCACUUUCCACGUCUCUUAGUAUUUCUCGGCUCUUUGGUUCUCAUUAAUGUUUAGGCAGCUUUUAAUUUGCGCUCAUUAAUGGGCAGGGCGAAAUCGAAGAAAGGAGCAAGCGGCUGGGCUGAUGGCACCGGGAAAACUGGAGAAUGGAACUCGCUUAUGAAUUUCAUUAAUUUCCGCAGAGUUGUUGCCCUGCCACUGCGGCUGUUUGUGUGCUGCUGUUGGGCAUGAAAAAUUCAUUAGAUGUUUUGCAUAAAUUAUGGCCGCCGAAAGUUCAACGAGGAUAGUCAAGGAUAGUCUAAAAAACAACUGCAAAUUAUUCCGCAAACUUUCCCCAAAACAUUUGGCUGACAAAAUCGCCCAAUUUAUCGUUGAAGUGAAAGCACACUUAGGUCAAAUAUUUGACGCCCCAAAAGUUUCCGAUUUACAGCCCCAAGCGACCAAUUAAAGUUGUCCCGAAAAUGUCAAAUUAAAUAUGACCUACUUUUUCCAAUUUUUAAGUUGAAAUGGAGAAAUUGCAUUACGGUAGCUACUGAACGUGGUACGUUUAUUUCAAAAUGAGUCGCGAUAUGAUUUUUAAUUACAAAGUACUACAAAAUGAUUUAAAUACAAACUAUGUGUAAACAAUAAAAUCGAUUGGAGAAACCUCGAGCUCCUAGCUUGACCAAUGAUUCUACACAAUGAUUCCUUGAUUUAGAAGGCACUACUGCGACUAUGAGGAGCUAUAACGCCACCAGCCAUAGUCAGUCGACGGUGGAUGCGGGGGGCAGGGGACUUGAGAGGAGCCACAAAGGCCACGAGCCGAGAUUGUUCAGGCUCGACCUUGGAGAUUGGUUUUUCGCAGAGACCUCCGUUGGUAGUCUUGUGAGUAUCUGAUGGUUUGGUACGCUCCUCGACUUCACUGUGUUCCGAUUCGGACUCAUCACUGCUCUCCUCUGUUUGCUCAUCGGAAUCAGUAAGGGAAUCCUCCUCGAAAUCGGAAUCGGAAUCGGAAUCCGACUCGGAUUCAAAAUCUGAAUAGGAAUCACUAUUAUAUUCUGCAUCGCUUCCAUCACUCCCAUCGAGCCUAGCUUUCAAAUACUCCUGGACCAACUUGCACUGCUCCUUCAUUGACAUACUCAUCUGUUUCGACUUUUCGAACACCUGAUUGGCCAAGUCUUCGAAGGACGCGGGUUUUAAAUCUAUGCGCUUCUUGCUGGACAUUUCUGAAUUCUACAGCUUCAAAGAAAUGUCGCGUUUUAUCACUUUUUUUUCAAAUUUUGUUUGCACUGAGAAUUUUUGUUAAUUCUCAAAAACUAGCUGCGUAUCGCACGAGGAGAAGGAAAGUACUGAGAUUUGAUGUUUAUUUAAGUUUUAACGUAUGUAGGACCUGCCUGCUUUGAUUAAAUGUUAGAAAAUCUAGCGUUUCCCAUUCCAGCAAACCAUCUAAUGAAGAAAUAUUUGAGUUUUGACCCUAAUUUGUGUGGCCCACCGCCUAAAUCCAUUACAGUGGCGCCACAAAGUGUGCCACGCAGGUGGGGCAAUUUAAUUGCGCGGCCUCCGGGAGAUAAAUCAAAUCAUUAGUUCAAAAGGUCACUCGAGUGGGUGGCCCGGAGGUCGAAGGGCGCCUUGUGCUCCAGGGGGCGGGUAGCGGUUGUGUUAAUGCCAAAUUAGAGACGCCCAAUGGAGCGUGAUUACAGCAGGCCAAACAUCGCAAUAGGAACACAUAAAUACACAUUAUCCUUUGGACGGGGGGCAAAACGCUUAUUUGCGUAUGCGUGGCGCAUAAAAUCCAGUUCUUAUUAAAUUUCCGCACGCCUACACAUGUCCUGUUCCCUGAUUCCCAGAUUCCCUGAAUUCUGGGUGGGAUAACCACGCACACCAAACGCCUUCCCCAUCCCAUCCAGAACAGACUGGCAAUCGUGAGCAGCUGUUGGUUUGUUCCCUGGCUUUUGGCUCAAUGAAUUUUUGCAUGUUUUUGUCGGCCCAUCGAGGAACGCAUGUUUUUUAUCCUAACACUUGCCGCAGGCGGAGAAGCACUUCCUCGACUUCCCAUUUUCCCAUUUCCCUGCCCUUGGGAAGGGGCACUUCUUUGUUACACCUCCAAGGCGAAGGCGAAGGAGAAGUAAACAAUAUUAACAUUAUAUUAACAUUUAUUUGCGUUUGCCAAAGGUUUCUCUGCUUCGCCCACUUUGUGGCAAAUAAAUACAUUUACAUACAUUACGCAGCACACGAGGGUUUUCCGUAGUUUUCCCUCGCUCUCUAGUUGCCAUUAAAAUACACUAAUAGUCCGCUGCCAAGGGCGAGCUUUCGAAAAGGCAAAAAAAAAAAAGAAAUACGAGCUUGCCCCAAAAAUGGGAACUUCAAAAGGCAAGUCAAAACAAAGUGCCAACAAAGUAAUUGCAGGGAUUUGCCUUGCGGCCAACUCGAUGGGGAUAUUUGGUGGGAUGUGGGAGGGAGGGAAUGGGGUGGGGUCAGCGCCUAGGCCAUUUUCCAUUUCCCAUUUCCCUACCAUGCGAGUAUGUGUAUAUGUGCUGGGAUCUGGAACAAGGGAGUAGCAACCAGUUGCCGCGCCAUUUUCUCGUUUUGUUUGGCUCCAUUUUUCGAAUGUGCCAAAAUGUAUAAAUGUAACUGCUGUGCAUGGGCUGUCCUUUGAACAAUUUUACGCAUAUUUGCACUUAAAUAUAACAUUGCCCCCGUAUGCGAACAUAUACAUAUAUGGCCAGAUAUUUACGAUGGCACGUUAAUUUUUAUGACAUUUUCUCGCUGGCAACUCGAAUGCCUCUCAAAGUGCCCGCCAGACAGCGAUUCCAAUUCGCAUUAUGUCAGGUUUACGAACGGAUAUAUAUCUCAAAGGGACCAGCGACACGGGCUAAUAAACCUAUUAAAUUUGGUGAUAAAUGCUCGAGAGCAGCCUCAAAAACCUGCACACAUCUCACUCAUAACUGGCCAUUAAAUAUUUUGUGUCACAUGAAACCAAGUUAUGAUCAAUUGGCAAGUCAGCUUUUGGGCUUUUAAUUCUUUGCUGAUCUUUAAGGAUACAAUGCAUUCGGAUUCGCAUCCUAUCUGAAUUUAAAUAAGGACACUUCAAAUGAUCUACUGAGCAGCAUCGUAGUCGCAUCGAUCUCAAAUUUUAUUGCUAUCUUCUGUUGCCUGAGCAUAGGACUCCUCUUACA
ensembl:ncRNA asRNA:CR46486 antisense RNA:CR46486